rnacentral:rRNA from 1 species
CCUACGGGUGGCUGCAGUGGGGAAUAUUGGACAAUGGGGGGAACCCUGAUCCAGCCAUGCCGCGUGUGUGAAGAAGGCCCUCGGGUUGUAAAGCACUUUCAGUGAGGAAGAACGCCUGGUGGUUAAUACCCAUCAGGAAAGACAUCACUCACAGAAGAAGCACCGGCUAACUCCGUGCCAGCAGCCGCGGUAAUACGGAGGGUGCGAGCGUUAAUCGGAAUUACUGGGCGUAAAGCGCGCGUAGGUGGCUUGAUAAGCCGGUUGUGAAAGCCCCGGGCUCAACCUGGGAACGGCAUCCGGAACUGUCAAGCUAGAGUGCAGGAGAGGAAGGUAGAAUUCCCGGUGUAGCGGUGAAAUGCGUAGAGAUCGGGAGGAACACCAGUGGCGAAGGCGGCCUUCUGGACUGACACUGACACUGAGGUGCGAAAGCGUGGGUAGCAAACAGGAUUAGAUACCCUAGUAGUC